UUGGUCCUCAACAAAACACUUUGCAAGUUUUAAGUAGAUCGGAGAGACGAAAGGCGUGAAAUGAAAAUAUCUGUGUUUAUGUUACCUUUUGGUCCACGAUGGAGCACGCCACCUCCCGGACCUGACUGAGGCUGAACUCCGCGGCAUCCAGCAGCACGGGCUCCCGGCUCAGACCGAUCUGGAUGUGGAAGGAGAUCACACCACCACCACCACCUCCUCCUCCUCCUACACCACCACCACCCCUCCCCGGCGCCGGUGUUGGUGUUGUUUGUGCCCCCUGAGAACGGGAGAGGGCUGGGCGCACGGAUCAGCGGAGGCGCACUCAUAUGAGCCUUUUCACCACCGGUUUCUAACUCUGCCAAGAAACAAUUAGGAGUCACGACGACGUGAAAUGACCGCACGGGUGAAUGAAUAGGGAAAUUAGCGACACGUCCAGGUGGAGCAGCCAGAGGAGGGAUUUAAACCGUGGAGAGGUGCGAGAGGCUCGGACGCACGGAACUCCCCAAAGCGUCAGAAAAGUGCAAGAGGAUAAAAAGAGUUUCCGACAGAAAAGACGACUGAUUAACUAAAAUAAAACUAACUGAAAAAGGAAAGGGAGCCGCGAGAAGACAAACAGCGCGGGUGUGAACACAGAGGCAAUUAGAAGAACCAUAAUGACUACAUGACUGGACCAGAGAGCAGCGUGGAAACCGGUGAUGCGGGUGACAGAGCCAUGGACGUCAACAGUGGCUGGAGAGGAGGAGGAGGGGAGUAAAGGAAAGGAGAGGAGAGAGGGAAAUGUCCUGGACUGAGGGAUGGUGGAUAAAUGAUGGAUGGAUGGAGAGGUUUAGACUUCAGAAGCUGAUGAGACUGUGUGUUCUGUUCACAUAUGUAAAUCCAGAUAUUUGCAGAUUUUCAAAAUCCUAAAUUCUGUCUCUAAUCUGUCUAUCCUCUCUUCAUCUACUGUCCCAGUAAUUUUUACUCUACUGAACUACUAAUUUCUUAACAACAUAUGGAGUUAUGGUUGAGAAAUUGAUUUUUUAAAUUUAUGUUUGCAUAUACUAAUCUAAAACUAGUGAAAUAUUACCUUUUGAGUUUGUCUUUUGCUGACACCAGUGGCAUUUGUUACCUUAAUAUGGAUAUAGGGGGGGAGGGGGAAGGGGGUUAGGGUGACUUUAGUAAAGUGCAGAGGAGGCAAAACACAGGUUGAAACUGUCCCCACUUUGGUUUGAUUCGGGUAAAUGUCGGGCAAUCAGGUUAUGGUCUGGGCUUGCUAUUUUGCAGACCCAUUAAUUCCCAGUAAUGUUUAGAUGGCUUUUUACAAUUAGAUUAAUCAUGUAGGAUGUUUAAUGUGGUUGCAAACUUGGGACAAGCAGUUAACUCAGGAGCAGAUUCUUUUUUUAAAUUUAAUUUUGUUUUGUUCUUGUAUGCAGCCUCUUUUUUGGUUUGCAGUGCAGAAAGCAUAGACAGACUGUACCAGAACUGGAAUUUGUAAUAAAGUUAGUCUGUUUUCAUGUUAACAUAA